UAAUUUUGAAAGCUAGUCCCUAGUCUUUACACGCGCAUGCAGAGCACUGACCGGUCAGUCAGUGCUCUGCAUGCGCGUGUAAAGACUAGGGACUAGCU